rnacentral:misc_RNA from 1 species
GGAAAAACGAACGUGAAAAGGCUGCUUUGGAUUUGAAAACCUCUACACAGAGAGUGCAGGCCGAAGCCCAGGAGGAAAUAAGAAGGCUCUCAGAAUCUGCUAUCAAACGGGAAAAAGAGCAGCAAGAAAUUAUUAAUAAGCUUCAGGAAGAUGAGAAGGAAAGAUGUUCACUGAUGGAAUCCUUGAGAUCUAAGUUGGAAGACGCCAGGCAGAAAUUGGUUGUUUCUGACAACAAAGUUCGUCAGCUUGAAGCUCAACUUUGUGAGGAACAAUUAUCUUCUGCA